CCCUGGAGCACUGAUUCUGGACCCCCCUGUGGCCCCUCCUCUCCAAACGUGGACUAUACAACAGCGCCUAGUCGCCGAUGACAAAGGUGGAACUAAAGUGCCCGGCUUAACAUUCUAGUCGGGCCAUUUAGUGCUCUGCACCACUGAAAAAAGACGAGCACGAAGAGGAAAAGCAGUCCCAAGAUUACCACGGCGACAAGUUUUGUCUUUCUCCACAGACAUCAGCAAAUGUAAAGAAGAUCCGCUAAUGCAGAACGGAGUUUUUCCACAUUAAAUCUUGGGAAAACAUACCUCACGUCCACAAUGAAUGAUGAUAGAUUAAGUAAUCUCGGUGUACUUUGCAUUGAAUCUCGGGAAGUCAAGAGCACUGAAUCUGGAAUCACUUAGGACUGUGCCAGAAAUCACCAAAACCGCAGAAUACAGUUGCUGUAAUAGUAGGAGCAGCUUAAGACUUUCACAAGAUUGGCACCUAUAUGAAUCUUUUUUCAGCAUUUAAUCAGUGCUACUGUGAUUAUUAUACUGUUUUUCAUUGUUACUGCAAUGUUAUGUCUGCAAAGGUUUGAUGAAAAUAAAAAGUCAAAUAAGAUUUCGAAUCUUUGUCUUUUUUGCCCUGGGUUGAAUGUGCCCCUCUAUCAAAACCCCUGGCCCCAGCCAGGCUCCCUCAGUGAAAUUGAGCUAGAACCACCGCUGCUCCUUUUUCAUU